CAGGCGAUUCUCGAGGCCUCCCACUCAAAGCCCCACAUCGUGGGAUUGACUCCCCAUCCCCCACCCCUUGCCCGGGGUCGUCAUAGGGGCUGUGAAGGCGCUCACAUUCUGGCAGCUCAAAAUUAGUUCUACAAACCGCAUCUACACGAGCGCGGCGAUUUCUGAGAAGGAUGGCAAUGCCUCCAUCCCCCACCUGGCCUCCUGUGGGAAAAACAGAUCUGUCCUGUGUGUUCAAAGCGACACCCCCUCUGUCGCCGAAUCUCCUGUUGUCACCUUUGAAAGUUGCUGCUGUAAAACCGCCAUCAAACUGAAAAGCAACUGUGUAACGUGAAGAGACGGCAAGAAGAAAAUUCAAAUAAAAG
rnacentral:lncRNA from 1 species